UACGUAGGUCCCGAGCGUUGUCCGGAUUUAUUGGGCGUAAAGCGAGCGCAGGCGGUUAGAUAAGUCUGAAGUUAAAGGCUGUGGCUUAACCAUAGUACGCUUUGGAAACUGUUUAACUUGAGUGCAAGAGGGGAGAGUGGAAUUCCAUGUGUAGCGGUGAAAUGCGUAGAUAUAUGGAGGAACACCGGUGGCGAAAGCGG
rnacentral:rRNA from 1 species